rnacentral:rRNA from 1 species
UACGUAGGGGGCUAGCGUUGUCCGGAAUCAUUGGGCGUAAAGCGCGCGUAGGCGGCCAGAUAAGUCCGGUGUGAAAGUCAAAGGCUCAACCUUUGAAUGCCGCUGGAAACUGUCUGGCUUGAGUCCGGAAGGGGCGAGUGGAAUUUCUGGUGUAGCGGUGAAAUGCGCAGAUAUCGGGAGGAACACCGGUGGCGAAGGCGGUUCUCUGGGCCUACCUGACGCUGAGGAGCGAAAGCGUGGGGAGCGAA